CGUAGGGUGCGAGCGUUGUCCGGAAUUAUUGGGCGUAAAGAGCUUGUAGGCGGCUUGUCGCGUCUGCUGUGAAAUCCCGGGCUCAACCUCGGGCUUGCAGUGGGUACGGGCAGGCUAGAGUAUGGUAGGGGAGACUGGAAUUCCUGGUGUAGCGGUGGAAUGCGCAGAUAUCAGGAGGAACACCGAUGGCGAAGGCAGGUCUCUGGGCCAUCACUGACGCUGAGAAGCGAAAGCGUGGGAGCGAACAGGAUU
rnacentral:rRNA from 1 species